GCAAACACAUCUUUAUUUUAUCUUGCAGAAAAUGCUGAAUACUUAAGAUCAUGAUGUUUUUUCUCUGCGGUUUCAGACAUGUAAUUUUGUUGCUUCAUUGAAAAGAAGAACAUGUGAUUAGAGUUCAAACUCAAACACUGCAGUUUUUACGCAAGAGAUAGAGAUGUUCUGUAUCGCAGACAACUGAAGGACGUGAUCUUGGUGACAUCGUAAAUAUAUGAAUAUGAGAAUCUAUCUAUCUAUCUAUCUAUCUAUCUAUCUAUCUAUCUAUCUAUCUAUCUAUCUAUCUAUCUAUCUAUCUAUCUAUCUAUCUAUCUAUCUAUCUAUCUAUCUAUCUAGUCACACAGAAUUUAUUAUCUUAGUUAGUGGAAUUUAUUAAAAAAGCAUACAGUAAGUGCAUGCAUUAAAUCUAUUAACAUUGUUUGAAGUAAUAUAACAUUGGGUUGUUGAUUACAAUAAAGCUUUUUUAAAUUCA